rnacentral:piRNA from 1 species
UACCAGGACCAUGAUGAUUUUAUCACAAUA